rnacentral:rRNA from 1 species
UACAGAGGUGGCAAGCGUUGUUCGGAUUUAUUGGGCGUAAAGGGUCCGUAGGCGGUUUGGAAAGUCAGAUGUGAAAGCCCACAGCUCAACUGUGGAACUGCAUUUGAAACUUCCAGACUAGAGUAUGAGAGGGGUUAAGGGAAUUCCCGGUGUAAGGGUGAAAUCUGCAGAGAUCGGAAGGAACACCAGUGGCGAAGGCGACUGCCUGGACCAAUACUGACGCUGAGGUGCGAAAGCGUGGGGAGCAAACAGGAUUAGAAACCCGGGUAGU